UCUGCUCAAUGAAAAUUAAAUAGCCGCAAUUAUAUUGUGCUAAGGUAGCAUAAUCAUUCGUCUUUUAAUUAAAGACUAGAAUAAAUGAUUUUUCAUUUAAUUUAUUUUUUUAAAUCUAAUUUUAAAAAUUCUUUUAAAUAUUAAAAAAUAUUUAUAAUUAAAAAAGACAAUAAGACCCUAUUAAACUUUACUAAUGUUUAACUGGGAAAGUUAAUUAAUUAAUAUUUUAAUAAAAAUAAAUAAUAUUUUCCAAUAUUAUUGAAUAAAAUAAGUUACUAUAGGGAUAACAGCGUAAUAAUUUUCUAAAGAUCUUAUUUUAAAAAAAGUUUACGACCUCGAUGUUGAAUUAUUUUUCUUAUUGAAGCAAGCAUUAAUAAAGAAAGUCUGUUCGACUUUUAAUUAAUUACAUGAUCUGAGUUCAAACCGGAG
rnacentral:rRNA from 1 species